rnacentral:misc_RNA from 1 species
CCGAGUACCGGGUCCUCUGGGCCCUUACUCCCACCCUUUGUGUACCUACCGAUGUUUCGUUGCCUUGGCGGGGUUGAUCCCCGGGCCUCACGGCCCUGGGGGACUCGCCAGGGGAACACCAACAAACUCUUGUCAACAGUGUUGUCUGAGAAAAUACAAAUAAAUUA